rnacentral:rRNA from 1 species
UACGUAGGGUGCAAGCGUUGUCCGGAAUUAUUGGGCGUAAAGAGCUCGUAGGCGGUCUGUUGCGUCGGCUGUGAAAUCCCGAGGCUCAACCUCGGGUCUGCAGUCGAUACGGGCAAACUAGAGUAUUGCAGGGGAGACUGGAAUUCCUGGUGUAGCGGUGAAAUGCGCAGAUAUCAGGAGGAACACCGGUGGCGAAGGCGGGUCUCUGGGCAAUAACUGACGCUGAGGAGCGAAAGCGUGGGGAGCGAACAGG